ensembl:lncRNA
GUUCACUGUCUGAGGAACAGGCCCUGGAAGAUUUCUGCUGGCAAAAGUGUCCAUAACCAGAAGGGUUCCUAACUCAUCUGUGUGGGAUAGGGGUUCCUACCUCAUCUGUGUGGGAUAGGGGUUCCUACCUCGUCUACGGGCAGAUCUGCAGCAUUUCACAGAGAGCUGGAAUAAUCAUCCUUUAAGUACAGAGGCGAACCUGACACCUCACCAGUUGUGGCGUAUCGGAAGUCUGAGCCAGACUAUACAGAGAUUCAGCAGGUGGAGGACCUGCUUUUUUUCAGCAGGAUAAUCUGGAAUCUGAAAACACUGACAAUGGGAUCAUUGUUCCUGACAUCCCAUGCCCCCUGUCUACUGAGAAUCUUGCUGUGCUGCAAUGUCAAGUGAACCCAGCACUGACUCCUCAUCUUUUGAAGGCCGUAGGUGGACUUUCCAACAAGACAAUGACCCGAAACAUACCUCAAGAUCCACACAGAAAUGGUUAUGUGACA